AGUGAACGCUGGCGGUAUACCUUACACAUGCAAGUCGAACGGUAACAGGUCUUCGGAUGCUGACGAGUGGCGAACGGGUGAGUAAUACAUCGGAACGUGCCUAGUAGUGGGGGAUAACUACUCGAAAGAGUGGCUAAUACCGCAUGAGAUCUACGGAUGAAAGCAGGGGAUCGCAAGACCUUGUGCUACUAGAGCGGCCGAUGGCGGAUUAGGUAGUUGGUGGGAUAAAAGCUUACCAAGCCGACGAUCUGUAGCUGGUCUGAGAGGACGAUCAGCCACACUGGGACUGAGACACGGCCCAGACUCCUACGGGAGGCAGCAGUGGGGAAUUUUGGACAAUGGGCGAAAGCCUGAUCCAGCAAUGCCGCGUGCAGGAUGAAGGCCUUCGGGUUGUAAACUGCUUUUGUACGGAACGAAAAGCCCCGGGUUAAUACCCUGGGGUCAUGACGGUACCGUAAGAAUAAGCACCGGCUAACUACGUGCCAGCAGCCGCGGUAA
rnacentral:rRNA from 1 species